rnacentral:tRNA from 1 species
GCGAGGGUGCCAGAGUCUGGUCAAAUGGGCAGGAAAGCGAUGAGCUUUUGCUAAACUCAGAUCUUUUGCUAAACUUAAGAUCCUGUGGCUUAGUGCCUACCAAGGUUCAAAUCCUUGCCCUCGCA